AGUUAGGGUUAGGGCGAGAAUAAGGGUUAGGGUAAAAGUUAGGGUUAGGUUUAGAAUAAGGGUUAGGGUAAAUGUUAGGGUUAGGUUAAGAAUAAGGGUUAGGGUAAAAGUUAGGUUUAGGUUUAGAAUAAGGGUUAGGGUAAAAGUUAGGGUUAGGUUUAGAAUAAGGGUUAGGGUAAAAGUUAGGUUUAGGUUUAGAAUAAGGGUUAGGGUAAAUGUUAGGGUUCGGUUUAGAAUAAGGGUAAAAGUUAGGUUUAGGUUUAGAAUAAGGGUUAGGGUAAAUGUUAGGGUUAGGUUUAGAAUAAGGGUUAGGGUAAAAGUUAGGGUUAGGGCUAGAAUAAGGGUUAGGGUAAAAGUUAGGUUUAGGUUUAGAAUAAGGGUUAGGGUAAAAGUUAGGUUUAGGUUUAGAAUAAGGGUUAGGGUAAAAGUUAGGGUUAGGUUUAGAAUAAGGGUUAGGGUAAAAGUUAGGGUUAGGUUUAGAAUAAGGGUUAGGGUAAAAGUUAGGGUUAGGUUUAGAAUAAGGGUUAGGGUAAAUGUUAGGGUUAGCUUUAGAAUAAGGGUUAGGGUAAAAGUUAGUGUUAGCUUUAGAAUAAGGGUUAGGGUAAAAGUUAGGGUUAGGGCUAGGGUAAGUAGAUCGUUAGUUGAAAUGUUACCGAUAGUCUGUAGAUAGUUCAUCUAUAGAUGCUCCACAGAUGGACUAUCUACACAAAGUGUUACCCAGUAUAGCAAUAGAAACUUUUAGAGAACCAGGCCUCAUCCUGCCCAGUAUCAGACGGUCUUGAGAACUCGACUUUUCUCUGGAUUGUUUGACAUUCCAGGCGUGUGAGUGUUCCACUUUUUCCACGGCCGAGUACUGACUGUUACUGUGGGGUCAACAGAAGGUCAGCUCUCACUAAUUGUAAUUUAAAACAUGUGUAAAUAUUUGUUGUGUGCGCGUUCCCUGGAUAUUGUGUGUACAGUGUCCUAUGGAAUCCUGGGAAAGUUCAUGGAAUACUCCUCAUGUAAACAAUCAGCACCAGAGUGUGAAAUGACCGUUACCAUUGCAACAGAAAAGACUAUCGUAACCAUAGUGAUAGAACAGAGGGGUUAGACAGUUUGGGAUAUUAAACUUUGCCAGACCCUGUGAGGGUGAGAAGGAAUGGACAGGCAGACUGAUACUGAAUGUGAUUCAAAAAAGCUACUGUAGCAAGGUCUGGUACCCAGUAACACACAC
rnacentral:lncRNA from 1 species